rnacentral:rRNA from 1 species
CAGUAGCCGCGGUAAUACGUAGGUGGCGAGCGUUGUCCGGAAUCAUUGGGCGUAAAGGGAGCGCAGGCGGGCAUGUAAGUCCAUCUUAAAAGUGCGGGGCUCAACCCCGUGAGGGGAUGGAAACUGUAUGCCUUGAGUGCAGGAGAGGAAAGCGGAAUUCCCAGUGUAGCGGUGAAAUGCGUAGAUAUUGGGAGGAACACCAGUGGCGAAGGCGGCUUUCUGGACUGUAACUGACGCUGAGGCUCGAAAGCCAGGGGAGCGAACGGGAUUAGAUACCCCAGUAGUCCCUGUCUCUUAUACA